GGAGAGAUGACAGAGCGGCCGAAUGUGACGGUCUUGAAAACCGUUGUGCGCCUGGCGCACCGGGGGUUCGAAUCCCCCUCUCUCCG
rnacentral:tRNA from 1 species